rnacentral:rRNA from 1 species
GUGGGGAAUUUUGGACAAUGGGGGAAACCCUGAUCCAGCGACGCCGCGUGAAGGAUGAAGGCCUUCGGGUUGUAAACUUCUUUUGGAGGGGACGAAUAAAUUGACGGUACCCUCAGAAAAAGCCACGGCUAACUACGUGCCAGCAGCCGCGGUAAUACGCAGGUGGCGAGCGUUACUCGGAAUUACUAGGCGUAAAGCGUAUGUAGGCGGUUGUAUAAGUCUAUGGUGAAAUUUCCUGGCUCAACUGGGAAGGGACAUAGAUACUGUAUGGCUUGAGUGUUGGAGGGGGAGACGGAAUUCCUGGUGUAGCGGUGAAAUGCGUAGAUAUCAGGAGGAACACCGAUGGCGAAAGCAGUCUCCUGGCCAAAUACUGACGCUGAGGUACGAAAGCUAGGGUAGCAAACAGGAUUAGAAACCCUAGUAGUCC